rnacentral:rRNA from 1 species
UGGGGAAUAUUGCACAAUGGGCGCAAGCCUGAUGCAGCCAUGCCGCGUGUAUGAAGAAGGCCUUCGGGUUGUAAAGUACUUUCAGCGGGGAGGAAGGUGUUGUGGUUAAUAACCACAGCAAUUGACGUUACCCGCAGAAGAAGCACCGGCUAACUCCGUGCCAGCAGCCGCGGUAAUACGGAGGGUGCAAGCGUUAAUCGGAAUUACUGGGCGUAAAGCGCACGCAGGCGGUCUGUCAAGUCGGAUGUGAAAUCCCCGGGCUCAACCUGGGAACUGCAUCCGAAACUGGCAGGCUUGAGUCUUGUAGAGGGGGGUAGAAUUCUAGGUGUAGCGGUGAAAUGCGUAGAGAUCUGGAGGAAUACCGGUGGCGAAGGCGGCCCCCUGGACAAAGACUGACGCUCAGGUGCGAAAGCGUGGGGAGCAAACA